rnacentral:rRNA from 1 species
GACGAACGCUUUCGGCGUGCUUAACACAUGCAAGUCGAACGGAAAGGCCCUGCUUUUGUGGGGUGCUCGAGUGGCGAACGGGUGAGUAACACGUGAGUAACCUGCCCUUGACUUUGGGAUAACUUCAGGAAACUGGGGCUAAUACCGGAUAGGAGCUCCUGCUGCAUGGUGGGGGUUGGAAAGUUUCGGCGGUUGGGGAUGGACUCGCGGCUUAUCAGCUUGUUGGUGGGGUAGUGGCUUACCAAGGCUUUGACGGGUAGCCGGCCUGAGAGGGUGACCGGCCACAUUGGGACUGAGAUACGGCCCAGACUCCUACGGGAGGCAGCAGUGGGGAAUAUUGCACAAUGGGCGGAAGCCUGAUGCAGCAACGCCGCGUGCGGGAUGACGGCCUUCGGGUUGUAAACCGCUUUCGCCUGUGACGAAGCGUGAGUGACGGUAAUGGGUAAAGAAGCACCGGCUAACUACGUGCCAGCAGCCGCGGUGAUACGUAGGGUGCGAGCGUUGUCCGGAUUUAUUGGGCGUAAAGGGCUCGUAGGUGGUUGAUCGCGUCGGAAGUGUAAUCUUGGGGCUUAACCCUGAGCGUGCUUUCGAUACGGGUUGACUUGAGGAAGGUAGGGGAGAAUGGAAUUCCUGGUGGAGCGGUGGAAUGCGCAGAUAUCAGGAGGAACACCAGUGGCGAAGGCGGGUCUCUGGGCCUUUCCUGACGCUGAGGAGCGAAAGCGUGGGGAGCGAACAGGCUUAGAUACCCUGGUAGUCCACGCUGUAAACGGUGGGUACUAGGUGUGGGGUCCAUUCCACGGGUUCCGUGCCGUAGCUAACGCUUUAAGUACCCCGCCUGGGGAGUACGGCCGCAAGGCUAAAACUCAAAGGAAUUGACGGGGCCCCGCACAAGCGGCGGAGCAUGCGGAUUAAUUCGAUGCAACGCGUAGAACCUUACCUGGGUUUGACAUGGAUCGGGAGUGCUCAGAGAUGGGUGUGCCUCUUUUGGGGUCGGUUCACAGGUGGUGCAUGCCUGUCGUCAGCUCGUGUCGUGAGAUGUUGGGUUAAGUCCCGCAACGAGCGCAACCCUUGUUCACUGUUGCCAGCACGUUAUGGUGGGGACUCAGUGGAGACCGCCGGGGUCAACUCGGAGGAAGGUGGGGAUGACGUCAAGUCAUCAUGCCCCUUAUGUCCAGGGCUUCACGCAUGCUACAAUGGCUGGUACAGAGAGUGGCGAGCCUGUGAGGGUGAGCGAAUAUCGGAAAGCCGGUCUCAGUUCGGAUUGGGGUCUGCAACUCGACCUCAUGAAGUCGGAGUCGCUAGUAAUCGCAGAUCAGCAACGCUGCGGUGAAUACGUUCCCGGGGCU